CGUCCCGCGCGGAGAAGGGGCGGCGGCGCGAGGCGACGAGCAGAGCCGGGCGCGCGGGGCCUCCGAAGUUGCGAGGCGGCGGAGUGCGGGCGCCCCGCCGCUGCCCCGCUCGCCAGCCGCGCGCACACACCGACCUCCCCGGCGAGCCUGCCCUCCGGCGCGCCGCCGCCGACUCCCGCCGCCGCCGCCGCCGGCUCCGAGGCGCGCUACGCGGCCGGCCGCCGCCACAUCGCGAGCCGACAAUAAAGCCGGCGGAGCGUUUCCGUCCGACCAGGCCCCGGCGGAGGUCGAAUGGCAAAUGAACAACGGACCGUGCGCCCACAAUGCACCGGGCAGCCAAUCAGAUAACGCCAGUCGUGUUUAUACUUCUACAACCACCUUAUGAAAUGUCAUUUUCAUGUAAAAAAUGAUGCUGCUGACCUACCACAAGAAGAUUUUGGCAUUGAGUUAUUUUUCCGGUCAUGAUCGUGUUGUCACCUGGCCACCAGCGAUCCCCAGCUUGAAAUUCCCAUAUGGGUCUUCAGAGUGGUACAGUUUAAAGCAGGUUCUUCAUAUUUUGCUCUCUGGAAAUUAUGCGAGCAUGUGACCGUGACUGAAGUGCCUAUCUGUGCAGCCUGCAGUCGAGUAGCAGGGAUGUUGGGUCAAUGUUAGUCCCUGCAGAGGUUUCAGCGGAGGAUGCUAAAAAGGCGGAGGGACCACAGUUACUUGAGCUGCCAAGUUUCCACGUGACACUGCUGGUCGCCGUGGUCUACAGUCAGCAAAAUCCAGGAUGUGGGAUAUGCCACAGGACCCAGUUUCUUCAACAAAUGCAUUGCAAGGGAGGAAAAAGAGAAAUGGAGGGAGAAGCCAGCCAGCAAAAGAGGCUUAAGAAACUACCAACCAUUUAUCAUUUGUGGGCCUUGUUUGGAUCUUCAUUCAAAGAGACAUAAUGUAUGAAGGAGGCCCCUUUAUGAAAUUUCUGAGACAACUGGAAAUUUGAACACUGACUGGAUAUUUGAUGAUACGAAAGGAUCAUUGGUAAUAGCUGAGCUGGGGUCCCAAUCCCGUUAAUUAACACCACCUUCGUACUUUGGAAACAUGGCCAGUCAGUCCAGAAAUCUUCCUGUCCCUCACACCCUAAUGCAGUCGAUCACAAAUCCUGUCUGUUCCACUUCCUAAACAUGUGUUGAAUCCACGCAGUUCUCUCUCUCCAAUGAGCUGUGUCAUGAAGUCUCACCCGCACCAUUGUAACGACGCCUCCUAAAUACAGAAUGUAAGCGCCAGAAGAUAAGGAACCUUGUCUGUCCUGUUUCCCAUGAUACACCUAGCGCCCGGAAGAACGCAUGGAAUAAAGCAACACUCAGUAUAGUUUGUGGGAUGAAUAAAUUGUUACCGGAAACGAGAAGCAACCAGAUAGGUCAAAAUAAUUUCAAGAUUGAAAGCUUGACCAAGAUAAUCAGACAAGAAGUCCCCUUCUGCCAAAACAAGACUCAAAACCAAAUAAAAAGUGCUUCUUUCACUCCGCCUUAACCUUCACUUUAUCUGAGGAGGUUCCGAAUUUCAAACAGAUGCAGUCACUCCCGAAUAGUGACAGAAUUAGCCGAUCUGCCUUCUUCAAGUCCCAGCCUUUGUUUAAAAGCUCUUCUAGGACUAGGCAGACCAAAGCAAGAUUUUCGAGGAUUGGUGGUUCUAAGCGCCCCCAGGGGUACCUUGAUGGUCCCCUCCGUGCUUCAGGCCCAGAGCUGUGGGUGGACUUGUGAGCAUCUGUGUUUUCCUGUGUAAUCUUAUUCCCUGCUGAUCGCUGGAUUGGCCCCAAAGGAGAAGUUUCAGAUCUCCCAAAACUAUAAGUCAGCUGUCAGCCUGUGGAAAUUAAUUUUUCGACACCUGUGAAACCUUGCCAGUGAUCUCCUAAGGUCUUAGCUAUCCUAUAGCUGGUGUCUUCCGUGCCUGAUCGCCUGUGAAUACAGCAGAGAAGGACCCUCGGGACCCCCACUGCAGCCACUUGGACCCUCCAGUAGCUGAACUGUUCUUUUCAGUGUUACCAGGAACAUUCUGGACCUUAUCACCUCCCUCGUUUCUGGCCUGAUACUUGAAAGCCAUAGUGGAAGUUACCAAGGGCCACAUGUAAGGUGCUUCCCUAAAAAUUCAAGUCACUGUGAGCCAAUGACGUGAAAACAGUCACAAUGUUUCACAGUUAAGCAGCAUGAUACUCCUCAUUUUUAGUGUUUUAAUGUAAUAAAUGUUGUGUCUUCCUUAUGUUA
ensembl:lncRNA